GGUGACUCUGAAUAACUCAGCUGAUCGCACGGUCUAGUGCCGGCGACAUAUCUUUCAAGUGUCUACCUUAUCAACUGUCGAUGGUAGUUUAUGUGACUACCAUGGUUGUAACGGGUAACGGAGAAUCAGGGUUUGACUCCGGAGAGGGAGCCUGAGAAACGGCUACCACUUCC
rnacentral:rRNA from 2 species